GGGAUAUUGCACAAUGGAGGGAACUCUGAUGCAGCGACGCCGCGUGAGUGAAGAAGUCAUUAGUGCUGUAAAGCUCUAUCAGUAGGGAAGAGAGAGGACGGUACCUAAGGAAUAAGCACCGGCUAAAUACGUGCCAGCAGCCGCGGUAAUACGUAUGGUGCAAGCGUUAUCCGGAGUUACUGGGUGUAAGGGGAGCGUAGGUGGCAAGGCAAGUCUGAUGUGAAACCCCAAAGCUUAACUAUGGGAAUGCAUUGGAAACUGUCUAGCUAGAGUGUAGGAGAGGUAAGCGGAAUUCCUAGUGUAGCGGUGAAAUGCGUAGAUAUUAGGAGGAACAUCGGUGGCGAAGGCGGCUUACUGGACUAUAACAGACACUGUGGCUCGAAAGCGUGGGGAGCGAACA
rnacentral:rRNA from 1 species